rnacentral:rRNA from 1 species
CCCUUAGAUGUUCUGGGCAGCACGCGCGCUACAAUGGUCUUCGCAAACGGAUGCAUUCUCGAAGGAGAAUGCCAAUCUUGGAAUCUAUGCCUUGGUCGGGACAGUUGCUUGCAAUUUUUCGACUCGAACCAGGAAUUCCUUGUAAUCGUGAUUCAUCACAUCACGAUGAAUACGUCCCUGCCCUUUGUACACACCGCCCGUCGCUCCUACCGAUCGAAGAGUUAGGUGAAUUGUUUUGAUCGAUAAGAUUUGCCUAUGGUCAACUCUCGUUGUGAAAUUCUGUGAAUCUGACUGUUUAGAGGAAGGAAAAGUCGUAACA